UACGUAGGGUGCAAGCGUUGUCCGGAAUUAUUGGGCGUAAAGAGCUCGUAGGCGGUCAGUCGCGUCUGCUGUGAAAACUCGGGGCUUAACUCCGGGCCUGCAGUGGGUACGGGCUGACUAGAGUGCGGUAGGGGAGACUGGAAUUCCUGGUGUAGCGGUGAAAUGCGCAGAUAUCAGGAGGAACACCGGUGGCGAAGGCGGGUCUCUGGGCCUUACCUGACGCUGAGGAGCGAAAGCGUGGGGAGCGAACAGG
rnacentral:rRNA from 1 species